AUGGCAGCUGGCCCCAAGGUCUCUCCAUGGAGAGAAGUCAGCAGCAAGGAGCAGGAAGGGGAGCCCGACAGUGCACUCCACUUGGCUGGAUUGAGCCGAGGAGCCAGAGACUUAAAGGAAGAAUCGAAACCCAGGGAUGAGAGGGCUGGAAGAGUGUACGUCCCAGGAGCCCCCUGGUCAGCAGAAUCAAGAAAGCCUUUGCAGAAGAGAGGCCAGCCCAACUGGAAGGGGAGGGAUGAAGAAGAGUUCGCCAGGCAGAUGCAAGGAGCAAGGGCAGGCAAUGCUAUCACGUAGAACAGCCAAUAUUCUGGGCCAUGAGAGUUUUCAAGUCCUUUUCGGCUCUGAGUCCUGGUUUUCUAGCUAAAUCCUGCUUGUCAGGCCCAGAUGGAGCCCAUGGGGGAGCCCACAGUGCUGCUCCUCCCUGGUCUCAGAGCUGAUCCUCAUAGCCCCUCUCCAGAACACAUAGCCCCUCUAGUGGGCUAGAGGCCAACCCAGAGCAUCCUGGCUGGGUUUCUCCGGCAAGGACAGGUAAGCCGGCCUGGUCCAAAUCCCAGCUCUCAGUUUACCAGCUGGACAACCAUGGGCAAGUAAUUCCACUUCUCAGAGCUUCAGUUUCCUUGUGUGUCGUUGUAGGGUAAGGACAGUUCCCGGAGGGCUGGCAGGAGAAUGAAUGAGUUACUUGAGGUAGAACUUAGAACAGGGACAGGGGGAGCAGUGCAACCUCCUCCUCUCCUCUCCCCUUCCCCUUUCUUCCCUCCUCCUCCUCUCCCUCUCCCUUCCCUCCUCCUCGAUCCCUCCCUCCCUUUCUCCUUCCCCUAGUACAGCUUGCACCUGUCUGGCUUUUCUUGCUGUCUCCUCCACUGUCCUGCUGAGGCUUGAUCAUUUCCUCCAGAGGCUUGGACCCAGAUCCCCAAGAGCCUUACUCUCUCCACAGUAAGGUCUCUGGUCAAAUGUCACUUCUCUGACACCCUCUCUAAGAUGUCAUCCCCUCUGCCCUGUCCCUCUCAUCACUCUCUAGCCACCGCUGCCCCCCGACAUUUGAGUUUUCUUUCUGGCACUCAGCACACCAUGUGACAUUAUAUUAUAUAUUUGUGUAGUGUCUGCUAGCCCUGGCUUCCUGCAAGCUCCAUGCUGUGCCCCCGGCACCUAGAGCAGUGCCCGGGACAGCGGACCCCCAGUAAGUAAGUGUGGAACAGAAUAUUUGUGGAAGAACUGAGCAUCAGUUAUAAUGGUUGUGUUUCCCCACUGCUUCCUGCCUUGAUCUACAAGCACACAAUCUGGGAGCUCGCACUGAGCACCCGGGCAUCUCACUUCCAGAUUCCUCUGUGUGUCUCCCUGUGUCUAGUGCAUAUCUGGUUGAACUGAUCCUCUCUUCCCAUUAAAAAGCUGGGUCCCAGCCGGGAGACCAGAGGGUCUUCUACUGGGGGCGGUGUGGGUACUGUGAACCUGGCAUUCUCUAUGCAUUUCACUUACCAACUUUCCAACAAAGGUUUUCUGAGUCCCACUUCACAGAUGGGAACACUGAGAGGCUACAGCAAGUCUCAGAGCAGUGGCAGCAGUGGGGCUUGAGGCCCAUGUCGACCUGAUUGGAAGGCCUCACUUGCCCCACAGUAGUACCCAGUGGUGCCUCCUAGGGAGUGUCUUGGUGUGGAUGGCAGGGAGGCUUGGAGAUGGGACAGGACCAGCCUUUGGUGGCUCUACUUGACAUCCUGGGCCCCUCUGAGCAACCAUCCUUCACCAUCUCCUGUGUUUAAGGAGAGGGGUGGCUCUGCUUUUGUGGCUCAUUUAAGUGCCUCAAAACUGAGGGUUGGCAACUCUUCACAAGUUGUGAGCCAGCCAGUGGGGCAUGAAGCACAUCAUGGGCUAGCCAUGUCAUUGGCGCCACAGGGCGAGUUGGGGCCCGGCUCCUUCUAAUGACAGCAGCUCCGUGUGUGCAUGGGCCCUUGUAAGAGAUCCCAUGUGCCCUCUGAGAACCCUGACCAGUCCCAAAGAAAGCAGGACUCAAGGGCCAGAAAUACUCAUCAACCUCCUGGUCAAGAAGUGGCAGGAGCAGGGCCCCAGAUCUGGGGCCAGGUGAGAAAUCCAAGUCCUCCAUGGCCCCGUUGGGAAGGUUGGUAACUUGCCCCCAUGACCACAGCAGGCUCCAGGGCCUGGACUCUCAACUAAAAUGUGCUGUAGCUUCUUCAUGCUGCACAAAUGUGUGGCCCAAUUCUAUUAGAGAACCUCAGAACGGGGAUCCCUGGGUGGUUCCGUGGUUUAGCGCCUGCCUUUGGCCCAGGGAGUGAUCUUGGAGUCCUGAUCUCAAGUCCCACAUCGGGAUCUCUGCAUGGAGCCUGCUUCUCCCUCUGCCUGUCUCUCUCUCUCUCUCUCUCUCUCUCUCAUAAAUAAAUAAAAUCUUUAAAAAGAGAGAACCUCA
ensembl:lncRNA